AAAAAUAGCAUAGUUUAGUAAGACAUCAAAAACCAUCAAAAAAUGUCAUAGUAUAGUAAGACGUCAAAAAUGGUCAAAAAAUGUCUCAGUAAAUUGAGGCAUCAAAAACCACACAAAAAUAUCAUAGUAUAGUUAGGCAUCAAAAAUGGUCAAAAAAUGUCAUAGUAUAGUAAGACAUCAAAAACCAUCAAAAAAUGUGAUAGUAUAGUAAGGCAUCAAAAACCACACAAAAAUAUCAUAGUAUAGUUAGACAUCAAAAAUGGUCAAAAAAUGUCAUAGUAUAGUAAGACGUCAAAAACCAUCAAAAAAUAUCAUAGUAUAGUAAGGCAUCAAAAACCACACAAAAAUAUCAUAGUAUAGUUAGGCAUCAAAAAUGGUCAAAAAAUGUCAUAGUAUAGUAAGACAUCAAAAAAUGUAAUAGUAUAGUAAGACAUUAAAUAAAAACCAUCAAAAAAUAUCACAGUAAAGCGUCAAAAACCAUCAAAAAAUGUCAUAGUAUAGUAAGACAUCAAAAACCAUCAAAAAAUGUCAUAGUAUAGUAAGACGUCAAAAACCAUCAAAAAAUAUCAUAGUAUAGUAAGGCAUCAAAAACCACACAAAAAUAUCAUAGUAUAGUUAGGCAUCAAAAAUGGUCAAAAAAUGUCAUAGUAAAUUGAGGCAUCAAAAAAUGUCAUAGUAUAGUAAGGCGUCAAAAACCAUCAAAAAAUGUCAUAGUAUAGUAAGGCAUCAAAAACCACACAAAAAUAUCAUAGUAUAGUUAGGCAUCAAAAAUGGUCAAAAAAUGUCAUAGUAUAGUAAGACAUCAAAAAAUGUAAUAGUAUAGUAAGACAUUAAAUAAAAACCAUCAAAAAAUAUCAUAGUAAAGCGUCAAAAACCAUCAAAAAAUGUCAGUAUAGUAAGGCAUCAAAAAUGGUCAAAAAAUGUCAUAGUAAAUUGAGGCAUCAAAAAAUGUAAUAGUAUAGUAAGAUGUCAAAAAUGGUCAAAAAAUGUCAUAGUAAAUUGAGGCAUCAAAAAAUGUAAUAGUAUAGUAAGGCGUCAAAAAUGGUCAAAAAAUGUCAUAGUAUAGUAAGGCAUCAAAAACCACACAAAAAUAUCAUAGUAUAGUAAGACAUCAAAAAAUGUAAUAGUAUAGUAAGACAUUAAAUAAAAACCA